rnacentral:lncRNA from 1 species
GACUUAUUUGCAAGGAAUCCAUCACCAUGGCUAGGAGGGUCUGGGGGCGGGGGAGUGCCCAGGUCUUUUGUUAUCUUUGUCACCUCCUCCCCCACCGCAGGGCCUGAGUACCAGCACCACAUCCGAGAGGGGAGCGGCCAGGAGCCGCUGCUUCUCUGGAGCCGAGAAAACCUGUGUUUUUGCGCUUAGGUUGCUUUUAUCUGACUGAAACUCUACCUAGAGGCUUUGGAGCCCAGACACUGAGUCUUUGUUCUGCGAGGAAGGGGCCGCCACUCCAGGCGGCUGCAGAUAACGUCCCGAAGGGAGAGCGGGCCCAGCCACAUUAACUUUCUUUCUUUUUCUCUUUUUGAAGCUCUGCCUCCGACCUGCGGCGGAGUCAUGCGGCCGGAGGGGGCAGAUCGAAGCCCUUUGGACGAGGGCCGCCUCGUCCUGUUGUUCACUUGGACGCAGUGGAGAGGAAAGCGGUCCCCACAGGCGGACUUUGGCUCCGGGACCCGGGCCCACACGUCGUGGCCCCGCGCCUCCUCUGGAUAGGGGCAGGGCGGGAGGGCGCACGGAGCAGGAUUUAGGGACCUGCUGGGGGCCCAGAGGACCGGUGGGGCCCCGGGGGCUGGGGGAGGAGCGCGCCUCGGCCUGGGCUGGUGACUCCGGGAGAACCCGCACGGAAAGCCCAUCCAUCUGCGGGAAAGGGAAGGGAGGUCUGGGGAGUUGUCACUGCCCCACUGCGAUGGCGCAGGCUGGGGGCGGAGACUUGGGACCCACAGAGGCCCUUUCUCCAACACCUCCGCUCUUUCCUGGGCUUCCAGGAGGAAGAUUUGCACCUUCUUCGGGCCGCUUGCCGCAGGCCCUCCCGUCCCGGCUGCACCUCCUUCCUCCCACCCCUGCGGUGAAAGAGCUCUCGGGGUCCCCAGAGUCCCUCACCCCUCCCGCUCCCACGCCGGCCCCUGGGCCUUUGCUACUUGCACCACCUCAAUCGAUUUUUGCUGCGCGUCAACACUUAUUCCUGGGCAGAUCUCUGUGUUGUUGAGUUUCUAUCUGAAAAGAACAACAAAAAAAAGAAGGAUAAGAAUAAGAAGAAUUUCUUGUGUUUGGGAUGCAUAACUUCAUUUCUGUGCUGAGUACUUAUGCAUUUUAUGUGAAUGUUGAUUUUUAUAUUUUGUUGGAAGAUUAGCACAGUCUUGCAAGAAAUAAAAUAGUCCAUUAAAGAUGUAUUUAAUUCCAGCUUAAUUACCUUUUAAACUCAUUGCUGCUCCUUUUGAAACAGUUCAGUGGCAGCUGUGGA